GUGCUUGCUUCAGCAGCACAUAUACUAAAAUUGAAAUGAUAUAGUGAAGAUUAGCAUGGCCCCUACGCAGGGUUAACACACAAAUUCAUGAAGCGUUUCAUAUUUUU